AAUAGAUACCCGGGUAGUCCACGCCCUAAACGAUGCUCACUAGGUGUUGGGGAAGCGAUUCCUUGGUACCGUAGCUAACGCGUGAAGUGAGCCGCCUGGGGAGUACGGCCGCAAGGUUAAAACUCAAAGGAAUUGACGGGGACCCGCACAAGCGGUGGAUGAUGUGGAUUAAUUCGAUGCAACGCGAACAACCUUACCUACCCUUGACAUGUCGCGAAUCCUGCUGAGAGGCGGGGGUGCCCGAAAGGGAACGCGAACACAGGUGCUGCAUGGCUGUCGUCAGCUCGUGUCGUGAGAUGUUGGGUUAAGUCCCGCAACGAGCGCAACCCUUGUCCCUAGUUGCUACGCAAGGGCACUCUAGGGAGACUGCCGGUGACAAACCGGAGGAAGGUGGGGAUGACGUCAAGUCCUCAUGGCCCUUAUGGGUAGGGCUUCACACGUCAUACAAUGGACGGUACAGGGGGUUGCCAACCCGCGAGGGGAGCCAAUCCCUACAAAGCCGUUCGUAGUCCGGAUUGCAGUCUGCAACUCGACUGCAUG
rnacentral:rRNA from 1 species